GGGGAUGUAGCUCAGUGUUAUAGAGUACUUGCCUAGCAUGCAUGAGGACCUGGGUUUGAUCUCCAGCAAACACA
rnacentral:tRNA from 1 species